GGAAUACUGUAUAGUGUAUUGUAUACCUUACUCAGCUAGGACCAGUUCCCAGUUCUUACUAUAUUGAAUUACUGUAUACCUUACUCAGCUAGGGUUAGUUCCUAGUUCCUACUUUAGGUAGGCUGAAAUACUGUAUAGUGUAAACCUUACUCAGCUAGGACUAGUUCCCAGUUCUUACUAUAUUGAAUUACUGUAUACCUUACUCAGCUAGGGUUAGUUCCUAGUUCCUACUUUAGGUAGGCUGAAAUACUGUAUAGUGUAAACCUUACUCAGCUAGGACUAGUUCCUAGUUCUUACUUUAGGUAGGCUGAAAUACUGCAGCUAGGACUAGUUACUCCACCAACUGUUCUAUUGAUGAUUUUCAAACAGAA